UACGGAGGGGGCUAGCGUUGUUAGGAAUUACUGGGCGUAAAGCGCACGUAGGCGGAUUAUUAAGUCGGGGGUGAAAUCCCGGGGCUCAACCCCGGAACUGCCUUCGAUACUGGUAGUCUUGAGGUCGAGAGAGGUGAGUGGAAUUCCGAGUGUAGAGGUGAAAUUCGUAGAUAUUCGGAGGAACACCAGUGGCGAAGGCGGCUCACUGGCUCGAUACUGACGCUGAGGUGCGAAGGCGUGGGGAGCAAAC
rnacentral:rRNA from 1 species